UACGUAGGGGGCUAGCGUUGUCCGGAAUCAUUGGGCGUAAAGCGCGUGUAGGCGGUCCGGUAAGUCCGCUGUGAAAGUCGGGGGCUCAACCCUCGGAUGCCGGUGGAUACUGUCGGGCUUGAGUACGGAAGAGGCGAGUGGAAUUCCUGGUGUAGCGGUGAAAUGCGCAGAUAUCAGGAGGAACACCGGUGGCGAAGGCGGCAUCCUGGACCGACACUGACGCUGAGGAGCGAAAGCCAGGGGAGCAAACGGG
rnacentral:rRNA from 1 species